rnacentral:lncRNA from 1 species
CGGCGGUGAGAGCGCCGAAUCCUAACCACUAGACCACCAGGGAAAGCUACUUGAAUCAAAACAGUUUGACUUUUGUAUUGAUUACUCAGCGCUGAGUUAAAACUCUAGCCAGCUCUGGCCUUUAGUCCUUCGGAGUUCAAAGUCAAGCUGUUCCACUCUGAUGUUGAUGAAAGACCGACUGGCAUGCAGAAACAGCGGCAGGAGAGGGUUGGGCGGGUGGAACCACCGCUAAAAGUCGCCAAAACAGACAACUCUGAAGGUUAUGAGAAUCUAUCGUCUGAAGCUGAGGCAAUAUCCUUCCAUUCAAGGACUGUACCUGAAAUGAUACAAGAUCACUGAUGAAGUGUUCAUUACAAAAGUUCUUAUAAACCAGUGGACCAGAAGAAGAAUUCCUCACUACCGGCAGACUGUCAGAACAUCAUUUAUAACAGUUAUCUGUGGGACUGAUACCAGUGGAAGAGCUGGUCAUGUCUAAUAGUUAUCUAUGGGACUGAUACCAGUGGAAGAGCUGGUCAUGUCUAAUAGUUAUCUAUGGGACUGAUACCAGAG